AUAAAUCCACUAUCUUUUUAGCAUAUGUGGGUUCAUGUUUAUCAGCUCUUUGUUUUCCCCAUGUUCGGGAGACAUAUAAAUGGUUGCGGAUGGUAUGGUAAUCUAGUGAAUAACGAGCAAACUCCAGACCUUUCGGGCCAAUCAAGUUCAGAAAAAACGCUAUGAUGUUCCCAAUGAAUUUUGGAGCAGGUUGUGAAGGACCUCUUCCAAGCUUCGCAUCGUCAUCUGCCUUCACAGUCUCCAUAACUAAAGGUCUUCGAUUUCCAUGGCUAAUUGUUGGAGUACUUUCCAAGUACUGUUCUACUAAACCCAGCAUCUCUCUACCACGCUCAUUUCUAACAGUAAUAUACUGUGGAUGUUGGGUCAUGCUGAUUCCAGA
rnacentral:misc_RNA from 1 species